rnacentral:rRNA from 1 species
AACGAACGCUGGCGGCGUGCCUCAUACAUGCAAGUCGUACGCGAAUCCUGCCGCAAGGCAGGGUUUGAGUGGCAAACGGGUGCGUAACACGUAGGUAAUCUUCCUUUGAGUUGGGGAUAAACCCUCGAAAGGGGGUCUAAUACCGAAUAACACUUCUGGUUGGCAUCAACCGGAAAUUAAAGGUGGCCUCUGCUUGCAAGCUAUCGCUCGGAGAUGAGCCUGCGGCCGAUUAGAGUUGGCGGGAUAAAAGCCCACCAAGACUUCGAUCGGUAGCCGGUCUGAGAGGAUGUCCGGCCACACUGGGACUGAGAUACGGCCCAGACUCCUACGGGAGGCAGCAGUAGGGAAUAUUGCGCAAUGGCCGCAAGGCUGACGCAGCAACGCCGCGUGGGGGAU